UUCGGACAGCUUGGUGUCAAAAAUAAGUCAAUAAGAAACCAACCUGCACCCCCCAGCAUCAACGCCACGAGCGCCUCAGUGUAAACACGGAACAUGAUGCGUUUCAUCUAGAUUGUUGCUGUGUGAAUCGCAUCCUGAAGGGAAAACAUUGGAGUUCACUUUGAGUGUCUUAUCUGAUGAUAAAUUAUAAGACGCUAUUGCAAUCUCUAUUUGGUUUGGAAGGAAUACCAAGGUUGCAGAUAUCGUAAAGUACAGAUCAUUUUGUGUACGUGGACGGCGGCUUCCAUGUUUCCCUGUUUAGAAUUCAGGAAGUACUCAAAUGUUAAGAUCGGUAUCUCUUCAUCAAAGGAGUCCUGCCUCAGAGAGACCACGGCAUGCAGUUAAAACACAAUGAAGCAGCAUGUUUUGAUGCAGGAGUGGCUAACGAUUGCUCAACAUGCUUGCAUUUCCUUUACAUAUUGAAUUCUGUUGGCAAAUCUUGUGCGUAGCCUCUUGAGUGGGUAAUACAGGGAACGAAGGCAUUGUAUUAUCUUGUAAAUGGUGUAGACUGAUUUGGCCUUUGCUUGUGUUUGAAAACCAUUUUUUUCUGUCUGAAAGGUGAGAUAUUGGUAUAUUGGUAGUGAUGGAGUUUUUUUCUUUGGUGUAGUACACCUCUUGGUGAUUCGAGUGUCCUAGUACGCAGAAGCAGGUCACCUCAGUGAACUCCAAGCAUGAGGCUAUGCAGUUUGUCACCCACAAACAGAACCGUUACAAAUUUACUGAGCUUACUCCCGUGUUGACUCAGGAGAGACGCAGACAGGCGUGCACGUCCUCCGAAGCGUGUGCCGUCAGCCAGCCUGUCUUCGUACUGCGAGUCGACAGCGAAGCCAGCCAGACCGUUCGUGUCACAGGAAACGAAGUUCUGCUGACAACUCAGCCAACCUGCAGGCGCCCGGGCCGGCACAGGAGGCGCUGGUGAGCGACGAGACAAGGAUUACCCGGCUGACUUCAAUCCUUCCCACCCAGCCUAGGAGGCGAUGGCACAGCCUGGAUUGGAACCAGCGAUCGCCACACAGGGAGCUCCCUGCAAUUCAGCUUCUCCAACACCACUACUGAUUUGUAGCAGGAAAAGGUCAAGGGGCUUGCGUUUACCGUCUGCUUGUAUCCUUGAGAUCAUUUCUCCAGUGAGUGAGAGGUACAAGUUUCACACCCACCACACGGCAAAUCAAUGUGCUGAAAGUCCAAACGUCUUGUGUGGUGAAGAAGGAGGAGGGAGUUUAGCUGCCUGUCAACCUUGAGCAAGGACGACACUCUUGGGAUGACAGAACAGCGCUCCUAAUGAGAGUGAGGUCAUCGCUUUACACGUGGUGCGGCACAUCUCCACUCUGGCACGCACUUGCCAAUUCUUCCUGAGCAACAUCCGAAGAAUCCGACCCUUCCUCACCAACUAUGCUACCCAGUUCCUGGUCCAGGCCCUGGUACUCUCCCGCCUAGACUACUGCAACUCCCUCCUGGCUGGCCUCCCUGCGUCCGCCACCCGUCCGCUCCAGCUCAUCCAGAACUCUGCUGCCCGCCUGGUGUUCUCUCUGCCUCGCUUCGCCCACGCUACUCCACUACUCCGCUCGCUCCACUGGCUCCCGAUCACCGCUCGCAUCCAGUUCAAGACUCUUGUACUAGCCUACAGAUGUCUUGACCAGACUGAACCCAGCUACCUCCAGACCCUCAUCUCUCCCUACACCCCCACUCGACUUCUCCGCUCCGCCUGCACUAGAAGACUGGCUCUACCUCCGCUACGCUCCCCUGCCGCCAGAGCCCGCUCCUUCUCCACCCUUGCUUCGCACUGGUGGAACGACCUUCCUACUGAUGUCAGGACUGCCCAGUCCCUGACCACAUUCCGGCGCCUCCUUAAGACUCAUCUCUUCAGACAGCGCCUGUAGAACUCCUCUGUUUGUAUCCUGGGACACUAUCACCCUUCAUUUAGAUGUGCUUUAUUUUGCUCUUAUCUGCCCCCUAUUUUACUGCUCUUAAUCCUGUACUUCAGAAUACUGUAAUCUGCCAAGUGUUUAACCUGUAGUACUUUGUAUUAAUCACAUCCUGAUGUAACUGUCACUAUUUAAUCAUAUCCUGAUGUAACUAUCACUAUUAUCUGCUGUAUUAUUGAAUUG